rnacentral:rRNA from 1 species
GUGGGGAAUCUUGCGCAAUGGGCGAAAGCCUGACGCAGCCAUGCCGCGUGAAUGAUGAAGGUCUUAGGAUUGUAAAAUUCUUUCACCGGGGACGAUAAUGACGGUACCCGGAGAAGAAGCUCCGGCUAACUUCGUGCCAGCAGCCGCGGUAAUACGAAGGGGGCUAGCGUUGCUCGGAAUUACUGGGCGUAAAGGGCGCGUAGGCGGACAGCUUAGUCAGAGGUGAAAGCCCAGGGCUCAACCUUGGAAUUGCCUUUGAUACUGGCUGUCUUGAGUUUGGGAGAGGUGGGGGGAACUCCGAGUGUAGAGGUGAAAUUCGUAGAUAUUCGGAAGAACACCAGUGGCGAAGGCGACUCACUGGCCCAAUACUGACGCUGAGGCGCGAAAGCGUGGGGAGCAAACAGGAUUAGAAACCCGGGUAGUCC